rnacentral:rRNA from 1 species
CAAUAUAUGGAUAAUACCAGUAAAUCUGAUAAUAAUACAUUGGAAAAAAAUUGUGAUCAGAGUAGCCUAUGAUAUGGGAGCAAUACCUUAAGAUUUGCCUUAAGUUAACAUUUGUAAAGAUUUACCCUUAAGAUUUGCAUUAAGAUAUCCCAAUUAAAUCACGGUGAAAUGAUAGGGACUCUCUGAUACAGUGUACACAAGGAGGAAAAAAAAUACAUAGAAUUAUACCAUGCAAUGGAACUAGAUUUUGCUAAUAUUUAUCUAUUAAAGUUUCGCAUGUGUUUGCCUCAUAUAUUUCCUACCAUGGCCACUCUGAAUGACCGAGAGAUUCAAAUCCUGAUAUAUAUUCAUAAGACUUUUAAUAAUACUAGAUAUUCAUUCACAAUGGGUUUCAGUCCUAUCAACUAGAUGGUAGGGUAUUGGCCUACCAUGGUUUUUACGGGUACAGAGGAUCAGGGUUCGAUCCUGGAGAGGUAGCCUGAGAAAUAGCUACCACUUCUAAGGAAGGCAGCAGGCGCGCAACGUUCCCAAUGGCUGAAAGGCUGAGGACGUUAUGGAACAUAGCAAUACCUUACUUUUUAGUGAGGCAAUUGAAAUGGGGGAGGUUUAAAUCACCCACCGAGUAACAAUUGGAGGACAAGUCUG